CAUAUGUCAUUUUCAAUUUUCAUGGUGGAGGGAGGUGGUGCGGCUGAAAAAAAUAAUUUCACAUUUCACGUUAUUUAUUAAUUAUUUUUAAUUUGAAACUGCAUUACAUGCGAUUGAAUUUGAAACUACAGCUCAACAAAAUAGGAUUACAUCUUAAAUUAUGGAGGAAAAGAAAGCAGCCCAGAAAAAUUACAAAAUUUAUAAUUUGCAACAAAAACCAAAAUUGAGGAAGAGAAAGCAAGUUUACCAGCCCAGAAAAAUUAAAAAAUUUGAAAUUUCCAACAAUAAAAAGGAAGGUGGGACUGUUAAGCAAUUUAUCCAGACAGGAUAAAUUACAAGGAUACAUAAUUUAGAUCAAGGAAAAGGAAGGUGGGAUUGGAAGCAAUUUAUCCAGACAGGAUAAAUUAGAAGAAUACAUAAUUUAGAUCAAGAAAAAGGAAGAAGGGACUCUUAAGCAAGUUAUCCAGACAGGAUAAAUUACAAGAAAACAUAAUUUAGAUCAAG
rnacentral:lncRNA from 1 species